UACGAAGGGAGCUAGCGUUGUUCGGAAUCACUGGGCGUAAAGCGCACGUAGGCGGAUGUGUCAGUCAGGGGUGAAAUCCCGGAGCUCAACUUCGGAACUGCCUUUGAUACAGCACGUCUUGAGUCCGAUAGAGGUGGGUGGAAUUCCUAGUGUAGAGGUGAAAUUCGUAGAUAUUAGGAAGAACACCGGUGGCGAAGGCGGCCCACUGGAUCGGUACUGGACGCUGAGGUGCGAAAGCGUGGGAGCAACAGG
rnacentral:rRNA from 1 species